rnacentral:lncRNA from 1 species
UCAUCUUCUUCAUCACACCACUAGAAGACCACCCCUUUGAGCAACGACCUUAAACCGUCCAUUCCUGCUUCUUCAUCGGAUAACCUAGAGAACCCUUUAAGAACAAAGCUGUUGAUCCCAUUUCCUCGACAAAAAUCAGUGAAAACGGACCCUACUUCUAAACACAACAGCCGUAGAACCCUCCUCUAUUUUUCUGUACGCAAUACACACAUACAAAAAAUGGGAGAAAGCCUGGAAAGAAUUCUGGGAGAAAAAGAUUAGGAAAUGAAAAGAGUUCCAUUUUCUUCUCUGAUUUCCAUUCAAAAAUGGAGUUGGAGUGAGCGAGCUAGUCGCUAUUGAAGUCUGCCGUUCGAGGUUGCUGUUGGAGGUUUACGUCCGAAACUCCAUCCGUGUAAUUGCGGUAAUUCAAUUAAUCAUAAAACACUAACUUCAGCUUUCAAUUGGACCUGUUAUCAAUGAAGCUCGUUAUUCUGUGGUUUACCAAGGAUUGUGAGUCCCUUCUUUUUCCUCUUAUUUCUACUUCUCUCUGUAUCUCUAUUUUCUUUUCAAGUAAUCUUCAAUUAAUUUCUUGAAUUGGAUUUUAUCUAAAUUUUUAUUUUGGAAUACACUAGAUCAUUCUUGAAUUGUGGGC